UUGGGUAGAACACAAGGUUCUCUUCAACAUCGUUGGGCUGUUAUUCAAGAACAAGUGAAUAAGUUUAGUGCGUGUUAUGCUCAGGUUAUGAAUAGAAACCAAAGUGGGAUGACACAUGAGAAUAAGCUAGCUCAAGCACUUGUUAAGUAUGCUAGCAAUGAGGGAAAUAAACCAUUUGGACUGAUGCAUUGCUUUAAUAAGUUGGAAGACACCAAGAAGUGGAAAUCUCGACCUAGAAUAAAAAAACACAAGACAUGCUCCAUGGAUACUCCGGGUACAUCAUCUAGUGUGUUCGAGGAUGAAGCUACAUCUCCCUGCAAAAGUGUUCCCACGAAAAGGCCAAUUGGUCAGAAGAGGG